rnacentral:lncRNA from 1 species
AGACCAUCCUGGCCAACAUGGUGAAACCCCAUCUCUACUAAAAAUACAAUAAUUAGCCAGGUGUGGUGGUGCACUCCUGUAAUCCCAGCUACUUGGCAGGCUGAGGCAGGAGAAUUACUUGAACCCAGGAGGCGGAGGUUGCAGUGAGCCGAGCAGGCGCCACUGCACUCCAGCCUGGCAACAGAGCAAGAUUCCAUCACACAUACACACACGCGCACACACACACACACGAAAGAAAUAGAAGGCAUAAUUUGUAGGUAGUAGGUUCCUAAAAAAAAAAAAACACAUGAAAGAUAGAGGAAAUUGUGCAGUUUGGGAAGUAAUCCUAGGACACACCUGUGGGGUAGUAGGAAAAUUGGAUAGGGAUGGGGUGUGUUAUACAACCAGUUACCACUAUAGACAAUGGAGUCUGAUCUUACUAGGAAUUUCUGGGAAAUAGUGGAGAACACUCCUUAGAAUUAUCUCAACUAAGCAGCUAGGAAGCUGGGGUAUUUAUACACCAACUCAUCAUCUAUCAGUGGUUAAAGCCUGUUUCUGAGGGCCUCAACAAUGAAAUUGGUUUGUGUGCAGAAAAACUGUACUCCUAAAGCCAGAGAGUCCCAGGCAGUUGUGGGAAGCCCCAUCAGUGUACUGAGAGAAGGAGAAAAAACCUGAAUCUCAGAGACUCACUGAAAAAGCCCCAGCAUUAGUACCGGUCAUGGCUCCUGGGCCAGGACUUCAAAGGAGCCUGGAACUGGCUGUAACUGGAAGGAGGUGGGGGAAUGAACACCUUUUCCAUUUUUCCCUGGCCUCUCUCUCUCCUGGGCAAGUUGGGGCAGGCUGAGUGGGCACAGGUCCUGGAUCUGCAUACCAGGGCUGGCGAGGUGCCUUUCGCUGGAAGUCCUGACUCCUUCUCAAUGCACAAGGACGCCCUUCUGCUGCCAAAGCUGGCUGGUGGUUCUUUCUGGAAUGGCAGCUUUCCCCAUCCCCCUUCAGGCUUGGGUCGAUCUUCUGGCAGGCAAACGUACUAAAGAGUUACAGGUGGUGCAGAUACGGUUUGGAAGGAAUCCCAGCUGGGCCUCCUCCCAGAAGCCUUCUGAUCACUCACCAGAUAACUCUAGCUGCUUGCAGAGUCCUGGGAAUCUUAGCUUCUCCAGGAAACCAGCUUCAAGGGCAACAAGAGGUUCUGAGGAGCUAGAAUAAUCUCGGAAGCUGAAACUGCUUUGUCCUUUUGCUUCCUUAGGUUGGAAAUAUUUUUGCAAUACCACUGAAUCCUCCAGUUUUUACCCCUUACGAUGGGAAGUGAAUACAGUAUGAAAAGGGAGUGGGACAUAUGAGAGGAACGACAGGCUCAAAAUAUGAAGACUUAAUCCAGACACCUCUGUGUCUCUGAACUUGCGUUGUUUCUUCUUUGGAGGUGAAGUACACAUCGUUUUACUCCGGGCAGAGGACUUGUGCUCCUUUUGAGAACUUUCAGCUCUGUAGUGUCGAGUCUUCUGGUUUCCAGAUCCACAUCCUGCCCUGGGGGAAUUGACAUCCAUCAGAUUUUCAACUGGUGGUCUGCUGUGAUGCAGAGGAACUGCUUCAUUCUUUCAAUCCCUCAGACCUGGACUUCUCAUUCACCAUCUGUUCUGAUCUUGGCGACCUGCCUGAGACUUUGAGCCACAUUUGAAUCCUUGGCUGUUCUCUUCUGCUGCCUACACCCUGGCCUGACCCAGAGAACUUCAUAAGGACACAGACAAACAUAGGAGAAAUAGUUACAGGACAUGGCACAUAAAGGGAAGGCCUAUGUGAAUUAGAGAGGUGAGGGAUGAUUUCCCAGAGGAGGUGGGACAUGAAGGGUAGAUUAACUCAGUUUUUCCUCUUCCUGUUGGUAGUAAGUGUUGCAUGAACCCACAUGUAAUAAAA